rnacentral:rRNA from 1 species
GAUGAACGCUGACAGAAUGCUUAACACAUGCAAGUCGAGCGAAGCGAUUUAACGGAAGUUUUCGGAUGGAAGUUAAAUUGACUGAGCGGGCGACGGGUGAAGGUACGCGUAGGUAACCGUGCCUCAUACAGGGGGAUAACAGUUAGAAAUGACUGCUAAUACCGCAUAAGCGCACAGCAUCGCAUGAUGCAGUGUGAAAAACUCCGGUGGUAUGAGAUGGACCCGCGUCUGAUUAGCUAGUUGGUGAGGUAACGGCUCACCAAGGCGACGAUCAGUAGCCGACCUGAGAGGGUGAACGGCCACAUUGGGACUGAGACACGGCCCAA